rnacentral:tRNA from 1 species
GGAUUAGUAGUUUAAUAUUUAAAAUGGUUUAUUGCAAAUAAACAGAUGGUGGUAGUCCUAAUCUU